rnacentral:rRNA from 1 species
AUUGAACGCUGGCGGCAGGCUUAACACAUGCAAGUCGAACGGUAACAUAAAGAAGCUUGCUUCUUUGAUGACGAGUGGCGGACGGGUGAGUAAUGCUUGGGAAUCUAGCUUAUGGAGGGGGAUAACUACGGGAAACCGUAGCUAAUACCGCGUAGAAUCGAGAGAUGAAAGUGUGGGACCUUCGGGCCACAUGCCAUAGGAUGAGCCCAAGUGGGAUUAGGUAGUUGGUGAGGUAAAGGCUCACCAAGCCGACGAUCUCUAGCUGGUCUGAGAGGAUGACCAGCCACACUGGGACUGAGACACGGCCCAGACUCCUACGGGAGGCAGCAGUGGGGAAUAUUGCGCAAUGGGGGCAACCCUGACGCAGCCAUGCCGCGUGAAUGAAGAAGGCCUUCGGGUUGUAAAGUUCUUUCGGUAGCGAGGAAGGCAUUUAGUUUAAUAGACUAGGUGAUUGACGUAA